CAGGACGAACGCUGGCGGCGUGCCUAAUACAUGCAAGUCGAACGGCGUUUCUAUGGAAGCUUGCUCCACUGAGAAGAUAGUGGCGAACGGGGUGAGUAACGACGUGGGUAACCUGCCCAUAAGAGGGGGAUAACAUCCGGAAACGGGUGCUAAUACCGCAUAGUUUUCUUGAUUGCAUGAUUGAGAAAGGAAAGACGGCCUUUGUGCUGUCGCUUAUGGAUGGACCCGCGGCGUAUUAGUUAGUUGGUGAGGUAACGGCUCACCAAGACGAUGAUACGUAGCCGACCUGAGAGGGUGAUCGGCCACAUUGGGACUGAGACACGGCCCAAACUCCUACGGGAGGCAGCAGUAGGGAAUCUUCCGCAAUGGACGAAAGUCUGACGGAGCAACGCCGCGUGAGUGAAGAAAAGGUUUUCGGAUCGUAAAACUCUGUUGUCAGAGAAGAACAAGUUGGAGAGUAACUGCUCCAGCCUUGACGGUAUCUGACCAGAAAGCCACGGCUAACUACGUGCCAGCCGCAGC
rnacentral:rRNA from 1 species